AAAUAUCUUCAAGGUGACAGUAUAUGAGAAGGCUGAGAAUUAUGAACAUUUUUAACAGAUAGCAGGAGAGGGAGCAUUCGCUUACAGGUAGUGAGGAAGGAAAAUAUCUGCAGCCAGGGGGAAAUUCUUGGCAGGGAAGGGGUAGAGAAGCUCAUUGCUAGAGGAACCUUGGGCCUUUUUCCUGCCACUCAGCUGAUGCAAAGGAUGAUGGUGGGCAAUGGGGCCAGGUCCCUUUGAAUGGCCACGCCAUGGCUUAGAGUUAUAACCCAGGUACAGAUUUAUAACCCGAGGUACAGAAGGACAGCAGGCCCCAACCAGCCCAAGCCCACAUAGCGUUGCCUUCAGCUUCCAAUGAAAGGUCGCCAAUACAAGUGCCCACUAAGUUUGGUUUAUCUCCUCCACAUGCAAGAGCAAAACCCACCUCCAGCCAUCUCCACAGCAUGAAGAAACUGAAGGUACUGGGCACCGAAGCUUUUCCAGCUUACAGCUGCAACACAACAGCCUUCAGCAGCAGCACAACAGCCUCUGGGCCCGCUUCAAAUCUAUGAUUUUCUUCACAAUUUUCCACAGCAAUGCUUCACGCUGUCUGGUUAUGUCUGCGUCCCCAUCAUCCUGCGUACAUCUGGGCAGGAGGGAAGGGCUUGGGCAAUGCUUCCAACUGCCCUCGGCUUCGCAAGCAGCUUCGAGACUGCUUCUUUCACUACGGCUUCAAUGUUUCUCUCCUGUUUGAGAGUCUCAGCACAUGAUGCUCUACUUUGGCUAAUUAAUUUUUAAAGAAGCUUUGUAUAUUAAUGCAAAUUCUAUUAGUGAUGCCUCUUGGCAGCCCGUGUAUUAAAUGUGAUGCCAGUAGCAUGACAACACUUGACAGUCUCCACAGUGGUAAAUCACAUAUAUUAUUUCAUGCCCCUUUUAAUGCUUUUAAGACACAUCCUUAAAAUAAGUCAGGACUGUUAGCAUGCUUCUCCUAAAGCACAAAAAUAUUCCUUCUUAAUUUAGCAAAGCGUAUGUUCCUAUUAGAGCUAUAGAUGCCAGAUAAAGACUGGCACACACCAUGUGUGGUGUGAAAUGGCGAAGAUGCGUUGCCUUCAGCGGGAUUGCAGAGACCGGUAUCAACAGAGACUCUGACUCGCUAUUCCUUUGCGACUGUAACUUGAUAUUCCAAGUUGGGUGAUCAUCACCGGGGGUUAAUCACAACAUCUAAUAGCAAGCCCCUCUACGCUACAAACUGUUUUUGUGAUAUGGGUUCAAAAAUCUCUGCUCGCGUACCAGCCACUAAAGAGGGACAAAGGGAGAUGCUGUGCAAGUGAGAACCACUGCUCGGGAGAGUUCAUAGCACGAAGCUCAGUGCCUGCACUGGCUGCCUCGGAUUCCACCACUUCAUGUUAAAGGAGAAAGAUCUGCUGACAAGUUGUAUCCCACAGUUAAUAAAUUGUGCUGACUGCUCGUCAUCCAGCAGACCUUGGACACAGGAAGGGCACCGGGCAAGAUUCACGCAUAGAUGAUCAGAAGCAGGAGGUGUUACAAAGGAACAGGAAAACUAAACAGGGUCAGAGCACAGAUGAAUUGAACAUCUCAGGGCCGCGUUUGUGGGGUCAGCAGGGCUGAAAGCCUGGGAUGGGGCAAGCAGCAAGAGGAGAAAGGAAAAACAGGGGGAACAGGAGCAGCUUUGGAAUGGACGUGGACACAGCUGGCCCCACAGGAUAAGAUGUGAAGGACCCUUUAAGCAGUGGGAAUGUGUUAGACCCCAGAACAGAAACAGAGGCUGACAAUCACCACAUAGCC